rnacentral:rRNA from 1 species
UACAGAGGUCCCGAGCGUUGUUCGGAUUUACUGGGCGUAAAGGGCGCGUAGGCGGUUCGUCAAGUCCUGUGUGAAAUCCCCCGGCUCAACUGGGGAACUGCACAGGAAACUAGCGGGCUUGAGUUCGGGAGAGGGAAGCGGAAUUCCGGGUGUAGCGGUGAAAUGCGCAGAUAUCAGGAGGAACACCGGUGGCGAAGGCGGUUCUCUGGGCAUGUCCUGACGCUGAGGAGCGAAAGUGUGGGGAGCGAACAGG